GAUGAACGCUGGCGGUAUGCUUAACACAUGCAAGUCGAACGGACUCUUCGGAGUUAGUGGCGGACGGGUGAGUAACGCGUGAGAAUCUGGCUUUGGGUUCGGGACAACCACUGGAAACGGUGGCUAAUACCGGAUGUGCCGAGAGGUAAAAGAGAAAUUGCCUGAAGAUGAGCUCGCGUCUGAUUAGCUAGUUGGUGAGGUAAAGGCUCACCAAGGCAGCGAUCAGUAGCUGGUCUGAGAGGAUGACCAGCCACACUGGGAUUGAGACACGGCCCAGACUCCUACGGGAGGCAGCAGUGGGGAAUUUUCCGCAAUGGGCGAAAGCCUGACGGAGCAAUACCGCGUGAGGGAAGAAGGCUCUUGGGUUGUAAACCUCUUUUCUUAGGGAAGAACAAAAUGACGGUACCUAAGGAAUCAGCAUCGGCUAACUCCGUG
rnacentral:rRNA from 1 species